rnacentral:rRNA from 1 species
UAGGGAAUCUUCGGCAAUGGGGGCAACCCUGACCGAGCAACGCCGCGUGAGUGAAGAAGGUUUUCGGAUCGUAAAGCUCUGUUGUAAGAGAAGAACGUGUGUGAGAGUGGAAAGUUCACACAGUGACGGUAACUUACCAGAAAGGGACGGCUAACUACGUGCCAGCAGCCGCGGUAAUACGUAGGUCCCGAGCGUUGUCCGGAUUUAUUGGGCGUCAAGCGAGCGCAGGCGGUUUAAUAAGUCUGAAGUUAAAGGCAUUGGCUUAACCAUUGUUCGCUUUGGAAACUGUUAAACUUGUGUGCAGAAGGGGAGAGUGGAAUUCCAUGUGUAGCGGUGAAAUGCGUAGAUAUAUGGAAGAACACCGGUGGCGAAAGCGGCUCUCUGGUCUGUAACUGACGCUGAGGCUCGAAAGCGUGGGGAGCAAACAGG